CAAGGCCUUGUGCGGGAUGAAAGCCUUCGGGUUGUAAACCGAUUUCAGCAGGGACGAAAUUGACGGUACCUGCAGAAGAAGGCCCGGCCAACUACGUGCCAGCAGCCGCGGUAAUACGUAGGGGCCUAGCGUUGUCCGGAUUUAUUGGGCGUAAAGAGCUCGUAGGCGGUUCGGCAAGUCGGAUGUGAAAUCUCCACGCUUAACGUGGAGGGGCCAUUCGAAACUGCCGUGACUCGAGUCCGGUAGGGGAGUGUGGAAUUCCCGGUGUAGCGGUGAAAUGCGCAGAUAUCGGGAGGAACACCAGUAGCGAAGGCGGCACUCUGGGCCGGUACUGACGCUGAGGAGCGAAAGCGUGGGGAGCGAACAGGAUUAGAUACCCUGGUAGUCCACGCCGUAAACGUUGGGCACUAGGUGUGGGACCCUAUCGACGGGUUCCGUGCCGUACUAACGCAUUAAGUGCCCCGCCUGGGGAGUACGGCCGCAAGGCUAAAACUUAAAGGAAUUGGCG
rnacentral:rRNA from 1 species